rnacentral:rRNA from 1 species
UACGAGGGGGGCAAGCGUUGUUCGGAAUCACUGGGCGUAAAGCGUACGCAGGCGGAUCAGUAAGCUAGAGGUGAAAUCCCGGAGCUCAACUUCGGAACUGCCUUUAGAACUGCUGAUCUAGAGAUCGGAAGAGGAUGGCGGAAUUCCUAGUGUAGAGGUGAAAUUCGUAGAUAUUAGGAGGAACACCAGUGGCGAAGGCGGCCAUCUGGUCCGAUACUGACGCUCAUGUACGAAAGCGUGGGGAGCAAAC